CAUGUGUCUUCUCAGUCAUGUUGACACUGGUCUACUACCAGGUCAUGUGUCUUCUCAGUCAUGUUGACACUGGUCCACUACCAGGUCAUGUGUCUCCUCAGUCAUGUUGACACUGGUCUACUACCAGGUCAUGUGUCUUCUCAGUCAUGUUGACACUGGUCUACUACCAGGUCAUGUGUCUUCUCAGUCAUGUUGACACUGGUCUACUACCAGGUCAUGUCUCUUCUCAGUCAUGUUGACACUGGUCUACUACCAGGUCAUGUGUCUUCUCAGUCAUGUUGACACUGGUCUACUACCAGGUCAUGUGUCUUCUCAGUCAUGUUGACACUGGUCUACUACCAGGUCAUGUGUCUUCUCAGUCAUGUUGACACUGGUCUACUACCAGGUCAUGUGUCUUCUCAGUCAUGUUGACACUGGUCUACUACCAGGUCAUGUGUCUUCUCAGUCAUGUUGACACUGGUCUACUACCAGGUCAUGUGUCUUCUCAGUCAUGUUGACACUGGUCUACUACCACGUCAUGUGUCUUCUCAGUCAUGUUGACACUGGUCUACUACCAGGUCAUGUGUCUUCUCAGUCAUGUUGACACUGGUCCACUACCAGGUCAUGUGUCUUCUCAGUCAUGUUGACACUGGUCUACUACCAGGUCAUGUGUCUUCUCAGUCAUGUUGACACUGGUCUACUACCAGGUCAUGUGUCUUCUCAGUCAUGUUGACACUGGUCCACUACCAGGUCAUGUGUCUUCUCAGUCAUGUUGACACUGGUCUACUACCAGGUCAUGUGUCUUCUCAGUCAUGUUGACACUGGUCUACUACCAGGUCAUGUGUCUUCUCAGUCAUGUUGACACUGGUCCACUACCAGGUCAUGUGUCUUCUCAGUCAUGUUGACACUGGUCUACUACCAGGUCAUGUGUCUUCUCAGUCAUGUUGACACUGGUCCACUACCAGGUCAUGUGUCUUCUCAGUCAUGUUGACACUGGUCCACUACCAGGUCAUGUGUCUUCUCAGUCAUGUUGACACUGGUCUACUACCAGGUCAUGUGUCCUCUCAGUCAUGUUGACACUGGUCUACUACCAGGUCAUGUGUCCUCUCAGUCAUGUUGACACUGGUCUACUACCAGGUCAUGUGUCUUCUCAGUCAUGUUGACACUGGUCUACUACCAGGUCAUGUGUCUUCUCAGUCAUGUUGACACUGGUCUACUACCAGGUCAUGUGUCUUCUCAGUCAUGUUGACACUGGUCCACUACCAGGUCAUGUGUCUUCUCAGUCAUGUUGACACUGGUCCACUACCAGGUCAUGUGUCUCCUCAGUCAUGUUGACACUGGUCUACUACCAGGUCAUGUGUCUUCUCAGUCAUGUUGACACUGGUCCACUACCAGGUCAUGUGUCUUCUCAGUCAUGUUGACACUGGUCUACUACCAGGUCAUGUGUCUUCUCAGUCAUGUUGACACUGGUCUACUACCAGGUCAUGUGUCUUCUCAGUCAUGUUGACACUGGUCUACUACCAGGUCAUGUGUCUUCUCAGUCAUGUUGACACUGGUCCACUACCAGGUCAUGUGUCUUCUCAGUCAUGUUGACACUGGUCUACUACCAGGUCAUGUGUCUUCUCAGUCAUGUUGACACUGGUCUACUACCAGGUCAUGUGUCCUCUCAGUCAUGUUGACACUGGUCUACUACCAGGUCAUGUGUCUUCUCAGUCAUGUUGACACUGGUCUACUACCACGUCAUGUGUCUUCUCAGUCAUGUUGACACUGGUCUACUACCAGGUCAUGUGUCUUCUCAGUCAUGUUGACACUGGUCUACUACCAGGUCAUGUGUCUUCUCAGUCAUGUUGACACUGGUCUACUACCAGGUCAUGUGUCUUCUCAGUCAUGUUGACACUGGUCUACUACCAGGUCAUGUGUCUUCUCAGUCAUGUUGACACUGGUCUACUACCAGGUCAAUGUGUCUUCUCAGUCAUGUUGACACUGGUCUACUACCAGGUCAUGUGUCUUCUCAGUCAUGUUGACACUGGUCUACUACCAGGUCAUGUGUCUUCUCAGUCAUGUUGACACUGGUCUACUACCAGGUCAUGUGUCUUCUCAGUCAUGUUGACACUGGUCUA